rnacentral:rRNA from 1 species
GGAAUAUUGGUCAAUGGCCGAGAGGCUGAACCAGCCAUGCCGCGUGCGGGAGGACGGCCCUAUGGGUUGUAAACCGCUUUUGUUGGGGAGCAAUAAGGAGCACGCGUGCUCUGAUGAGAGUACCCAGCGAAUAAGCAUCGGCUAACUCCGUGCCAGCAGCCGCGGUAAUACGGAGGAUGCGAGCGUUAUCCGGAUUUAUUGGGUUUAAAGGGUGCGUAGGCGGAAGGUUAAGCGUGAGGUGAAAUGCUGCUGCUCAACAGCAGAACUGCCUCGCGAACUGGUCUUCUGGAAUGCCCCUGCCGUGGGAGGAAUGUGUGGUGUAGCGGUGAAAUGCAUAGAGAUCACACAGAACACCGAUUGCGAAGGCAUCUCACGAAGGGGUGAUUGACGCUGAGGCACGAAAGCGUGGGGAUCAAACA